rnacentral:lncRNA from 1 species
CCUCUCCAACGAACUUCCAAAACUCUACCGGUAUCUCAUCCUGCCCCGUCGUCCUACCCCUUCGCAUCCUACGAACAGCCUGUCUAACCUCUUCUACCUUAAAACGUCUACAAUAGCUAAAAUCCCGACACUCCUCUGAGUGCUCCAGUUCCCCUAACACAAUAGCUCUAUCCCCUUCGUCAUUCAAGAGCCUAUGAAAGUACGACUGCCAUCUCUUCUUAAUGUGGCCUUCCUCUACCAAUACUCU